AAAACUUCUUAAGUAGUGCUUUAAAGUACACACACACACACACAUGUCCCAAAAGUAAUUUAAACCAUAAAGCAUUUAUUGCUGAAUUUCAACACAUAGUUGGCAAACCGCUCCAAAUAUAGAGGGCAAACAGCUAUUGCGUGCAUGCAUUGAAAGGUCCAGGCAUCAGAUAUCAUGGCGGCAGUUCACAGCUGUUGGUCACGUUCCAGUAGGCGGUCUGUCCAUAGCGGAACGCCCCCUGUCCUGGUGCUGUUACUGUGACUGCAGUCUCCAGCAGGGCCGAGAGAGUGAGGGGCUCACACAGUUCACUACACUGAUCUUUGACCUCAGUGCUCUGGGUCAGAUCUAGGGCAUUUCCUUUUUCAUGAUCACAGUCUUGUGAAACCCGAACCCUCCAAGAUCGCCCCACAGUUCCCCAAUAGCUGUCCCUCAACCAUUCGAGACCCCUCCCACAGUCCCCCUGGAAGAAAAAAAAAAGAAAAACAAUAUUUUCCAUUCCCCACCCCCAAGAGUCCCCCAAUACACCAACAACCAAGAGAAUGAACUAAAGAGAAAAAAGGAAAAGACAGAAGAAAACAGCAAACAACAAUGCAUUUAAAAAAUAAAUUAAAAAAAACAUUUAAAACAAAGGACAACUGUAUAUGUUUGUGUGCAUGUCUGGCACUAUUACAUGUAUGUGUGUGUUCUUGUAUGUGUUUAUUUGAAUGAGAGUGUGUGUAUAUGCAUGUGUACAAACACCUGCAGGGCAUCAGCCUCAGGCAAACCGGCAUUAGUUGUAAAAACACUGCCACUUAGUGUCAUUCAAAUGUACUUUUAUUAUCUUUUAUUUUGACUCUUUUUUUUCCUUUAUCUUUUGACCAUCAUUCUCUCUCACACACAGCAACUCCACUCCCACUUGUCUCCAAUUCCACAUACCAACCCUCAGCUUCCCUCAGCCCAUCCCUUCCAUCUCUGCUGGCCACCCACUUCGGGUUUCUACGCAACACAUAUCUUUCAACUAUGCUAUGAUGUUUAACGUACAAUUUCAAUCUAUCUAAUCGAAUAGAAACUACAGAUUGCGUGUUGAAGAUAAAUACUUUUACUAAGAGUAUUAGUAUAUUAGUAAUUGACUGACCCGGUCUCUCCAGAUCUCCUAACAGUACUAUUUCUAGGGUCAAUUUUAGAUCAAUGCUAUGCAUUUUCAGCCAUUCCUGAACCUGAGACCAGAAACAGGCUACCUGAGGGCAAUACCAAAAUAAAUGGUCUAUUGAUUCUGUAUCCUCACAACAAAAUCUGCAGAGUUUCGAUGAUUUUAUGCCCCAAAUAUUCAAUAUUUUGUUGGUGGCAAGAAUUCUAUAUAAUAAUUUUAGCUGAAAAGCACGAAGUCUUGAAUCUUGCGUUGUUUUAUAUAUCAACUCAUACACCCUGUACCAUGGAAUUGGUACAUCAAAAAUCUCUUCCCAACUAUUUUGCAAUCUGUAUGGCACAGUUGUCAACAUCCUGGUCCUCGAAUGAAACUGGUAUACUUUCCUAUUUAUGCUAUUUUUAUUCCUCUGCCAGUUUUGAUCCUUUAUAUUGGGCAGACAGACCAGUUCCCUACCUCCUCCCGCUGCCACUCGCCUCCUCCAUUUUUGGGGCAAUGCUGUAAUCAAUUGGUUUUACUCUUGGAUUGAGCAGACCUUCUCGUACAAUUCUGAUAACUACAUGAAGGACAUAACUCUACCAUUACAAUUUACAAUAUAAUUUAAGAACAAAAUACCAUUUUCAAUUUUUCAUAAAUACAGGUAUUUUAUCAACCAGCACAUUUGAGUUCAGCCAUAUUUGUUGUAAUAUUUGUUCUAUCUUUUCAGGGGGAUGAAAUUGAAAUUGUAGCCAGCUCUGCAAUACAAUGAAAUACCUUCUUGCCAGUUGUCCCGGUCUGAAAACGAUGACCUAUCCUCAGAGAACUGCACACAGAGACUUGUUUGCACCCAUGAUGGAGCUCUGUGGGAACACAAAGUACUGCCAUUCAUCAACAUCCCUAACUAUACAUGGUAAUGGAGAAAAAUAUGAUGUUUCAAAUGAUUUGUGACAACAACUCAAGACCACUCAACUCUUUC
rnacentral:lncRNA from 1 species